CAGUCGAGGGGCAGCACGAUGUAGCAAUACAUGGGUGGCGACCGGCGCACGGGUGCGUAACACGUAUGGAAUCUGCCCUGUACUGGGGGAUAGCCCUCCGAAAGGAGGAUUAAUACCCCAUAACAACUUGAGUGGCAUCACUUGGGUUUGAAAGCUCCGGCGGUACAGGAUGACCAUGCGCACGAUUAGCUAGUAGGUGAGGUAACGGCUCACCUAGGCUACGAUCGUUAGGGGGCCUGAGAGGGUUAUCCCCCACACUGGUACUGAGACACGGACCAGACUCCUACGGGAGGCAGCAGUGAGGAAUAUUGCGCAAUGGAGGCAACUCUGACGCAGCCAUGCCGCGUGCAGGAAGAAGGCGCUACGCGUUGUAAACUGCUUUUAACCGGGAAGAAACCCCAGGACGUGUCCUGGGUUGACGGUACCGGAGGAAUAAGCACCGGCUAACUUCGUGCCAGCAGCCGCGGUAAUACGAAGGGUGCAAGCGUUAUCCGGAUUCAUUGGGUUUAAAGGGUGCGUAGGCGGGGCCGUAAGUCAGUGGUGAAAUCCUGCAGCUUAACUGUAGAAUUGCCAUUGAUACUGCGGUUCUUGAGUACGCUUGAUGUGGGCGGAAUGUGCCGUGUAGCGGUGAAAUGCUUAGAUAUGGCACAGAACACCGAUCGCGAAGGCAGCUCACAAAGGCGAAACUGACGCUGAGGCACGAAAGCGUGGGGAUCGAACAGGAUUAGAUACCCUGGUAGUCCACGCCGUAAACGAUGAUCACUCGUCAUUGGCGAUACACUGUCAGUGACCUAGCGAAAGCGUUAAGUGAUCCACCUGGGGAGUACGGCCGCAAGGCUGAAACUCAAAGGAAUUGACGG
rnacentral:rRNA from 1 species